CCCACCCCUAGCCAUAGAGGGCGCGGCGCCAUGGUCGGUUUGGCCGCGCGCUCCACCUUGGCUCCACCCCUCCCCGUCCCACCCUCCCCGGCAGGUCCGGCCACGUGCUGCACCACGGGAUAACUUGCCACCUACGGGCAGUGCUGACACCUGUGGUCGCUAAGGUGGGCAGGGGGCGACAGGGGAGACUUAGGUAACCCGUCUGGCCACGCCGCGACAAAGGGCUGGGCGUGAUAAAAUGACCCCCUACUGAGCCCUUUGAUGUGAUCCUCCAGCCACCACCACCACCACCACUACUACUAGUCUACUACUACUACUACUACUACUACUACUACUACUACGGAUGCAGCUCCCUUGGGCCCCAACAUCUCCAAGGCCGGGUUCCCACUAUCCCGUUUUGACGGUUCCGUCGACCGUCAAUGACGUCAUCGACGGCGACGACUGUGGGAACCGGGUCCCGCGCACGGAGCCCCGUCGGCCCGUCCAGAGAUGAAUCCAAGUUAACUUUUGGGUCCGGGUCGACGGCGGUGGUGGCCCGUCCAGUGAUGCUGAAUAUUAUACAUAUCAUGAAAAUAUGAAAUGGAAGUACUUGGAUACAAAAUAACAUAUACAUACAUUUCACUUUAAUAAUAAUAUAGAUACAUUAGCAUUAUGUGCAUCUAUUUCGUUUGGCAAUAAAUAUCUUUUGUUGAAAACUGGAAGUGUGGCACUAACGCACACCGCCACAGCCGGGUGUAAACAAACCCACGGGUGUGGCGGGGAGAUUGGUGGCAAAUAUAUGUAUUCUUCUGUUGCAGAGAACACCCGGGGGUCAUUUGCGAACUAUUUCAGUUCCUCCCAUAUCAAAAUUAUAUUGUGAACAGGGAGCGACUUCAAUAGGCAGGCAGAUGGUUGAGAAUUCAAUCAGUUGUUGUUUUUAGUUGUUCAUCAGCAGAGCAGACCUCAGAGCCUGCCUUGGACUGGGUUUUACCACAGCUCCCUUGUAUUGUAUGUUGAGUUGUCUGUGAGUGUGGUUGUCCUGCCAUUCCACACGAUGUGUAGCAUUUAAUAAUAAU